rnacentral:rRNA from 1 species
AUGGUUGGACUAUUGAACCGUUCCCGUGGAUUGGCGGAAGGAGUGGCGGUUAUGAUAUGCCCAGUGCUUCUCGCACUUGCUCUCAACAUAGUUGACCUGAAUGAUGAAGUGUACGGACAUGGAGUCCCCAUUGCCCUGAUUGCCAUGGCAGGCUUUACUUUGAUCACCGGCAUUUGCCCCUUCAUGUUGUGCUGCUUCUUACAGGGGUUCCCGAGAAGUAGCGUGAUCCUGGCAAUCACUUCGUCUGCUUGCCUCGUCAUGCUCGCCUAUUUCAUUGCACACUUCAUUAUCUUCAAAUCCGUUUUUAUCACCCUUGGAGUCCUGUGUGGAAUUUUGCUCAUGCUGCGAACCGUCUGCUACUACUACUACUUGUAUGAUAGCCAAAAUGGCAAUGUUCCAGAAUACACGGCCAUAAUGCAAAGCGUACUGGAUGAAUCACAUGAGUUCUUGACCGGCGUCACUGGAAUUCUUUUUCUGGGGUUCCAAGGUUUGACUCUUGAUGGUGACGUUCGGACAAUAAGUCGCAUGGGUGGGGAACCAAUGGGUUACAUCAGCUUCAUCUUCAUCACUCUAGGUGUGGGAUCAAUGCUCCUCGAGAUGACCCCACCUAAAAGUUUUGGAGAGAGAAAAGUUGUGCGUCUGACUAUCCUCCUUGACUGCUUCAUGGCGGCUGGUAUCUUCAUGCUAUUGUUGGUUACCAUGCGUAAGCACACGCAGCUUGAGAUGGUUGCCCUGUUGGUCUUUGUGCCUCCGAUUAUAAGCUUCAGUUCACUUCUCUUCCUAGUUUUGUUCCCGUUGGAUGGACAAGAUGAUGAAGACCCCAAGCCAGCGUCACUGGAACUGACAAAGGUCACGUUCACCGGAUUCUUGGCCGUGUCGAUAAGAACCAUCAGCAACACUUCGCCGAACAAGUUCACCGGAUUCUUCUUACUAUUAUCCUCCAUGGCUAUUGGGUUUGGACUCUCAUGGAGGCUCCUUUCACAGAACAACACAAAGAGUGGUCUCACUAAUAUUGAUGUUUCACCUGCUCAUGUUGCUUCUGCCGCCAAGAUUGCUUCCAUUUUGACCCACUUUUGUAUUUUAAUCACCACUAUUCUAUUUGUCGCAAUGGCUAGUACUGCCAGCGGUAAAUGA